rnacentral:rRNA from 1 species
UGGGGAAUAUUGCACAAUGGGGGAAACCCUGAUGCAGCGACGCCGCGUGAGCGAAGAAGGUUUUCGAAUCGUAAAGCUCUGUCCUAUGAGAAGAUAAUGACGGUAUCAUAGGAGGAAGCCCCGGCUAACUACGUGCCAGCAGCCGCGGUAAUACGUAGGGGGCUAGCGUUGUCCGGAAUCACUGGGCGUAAAGGGUUCGCAGGCGGAAAUGCAAGUCAGGUGUAAAAGGCAGUAGCUUAACUACUGUAAGCAUUUGAAACUGCAUAUCUUGAGAAGAGUAGAGGUAAGUGGAAUUUUUAGUGUAGCGGUGAAAUGCGUAGAUAUUAAAAAGAAUACCGGUGGCGAAGGCGACUUACUGGGCUCAUUCUGACGCUGAGGAACGAAAGCGGGGUUAGCAAACAGG